GUUACUUUACACGUCCAAUCCCUACAAGUAACAUUACAGCGUAUGAAGUAACGAGACCCGACUGUCCAAAACCUGGAAUCAUUUAUACACUUGUGGACAGUCAUCAUCAUGUUUGUGUAGAUCCUGGUGCUAAACGGGUGCAGAAAAGAACUGAUGAGAACCAGAAGGAAAAUCAUCCAAACGGGGAACAUGAACCUGCUGAUUGCUGUUUUGGUUACAUAACAUGUCCAAUCCGUAUAAGAUUAAUUGAUCUGCAUAAAAUAACGAGAUCUAACUCUACAC